GUUGUUUUUUAUUUUUUUGUUUUUUGUUUUUGUAGUUGAUGAGAAUAGAAAGUCCAAAUCCACACCGGUCAUCCUAGCCGAGAUAGCGCAGGAAGAAGGCAUGCUGGCUUUGUACAGAGGCUGGUUCCCAGUCAUCUCCAGCCUCUGCUUCUCCAACUUUGUCUACUUCUACACCUUCAUCACAUUGAAGAGGCUGACGGUCACAGGGCCACAGCAGUCGAGACUGGGCAAAGACCUGCUCAUGGGCAUCAUAUCAGGGGCGGUGAAUGUGAUACUAACAACGC